UACGGAGGGGCUAGCGUUGUUCGGAAUUACUGGGCGUAAAGCGCACGUAGGCGGCUUGUAAGUUAGAGGUGAAAGCCCAGGGCUUAACCCUGGAAUUGCCUUUAAGACUGCAUCGCUAGAAUCGUGGAGAGGUGAGUGGAAUUCCGAGUGUAGAGGUGAAAUUCGUAGAUAUUCGGAAGAACACCAGUGGCGAAGGCGACUCACUGGACACGGUAUUGACGCGUGAGGUGCGAAA
rnacentral:rRNA from 1 species